rnacentral:rRNA from 1 species
AGUGAACGCUGGCGGUAGGCCUAACACAUGCAAGUCGAACGGCAGCACAGUAAGAGCUUGCUCUUACGGGUGGCGAGUGGCGGACGGGUGAGGAAUACAUCGGAAUCUACUUUUUCGUGGGGGAUAACGUAGGGAAACUUACGCUAAUACCGCAUACGACCUACGGGUGAAAGCAGGGGAUCUUCGGACCUUGCGCGAUUGAAUGAGCCGAUGUCGGAUUAGCUAGUUGGCGGGGUAAAGGCCCACCAAGGCGACGAUCCGUAGCUGGUCUGAGAGGAUGAUCAGCCACACUGGGACUGAGACACGGUACAGACUCCUACGGGAGGCAGCAGUGGGGAAUAUUGGACAAUGGGCGCAAGCCUGAUCCAGCCAUACCGCGUGGGUGAAGAAGGCCUUCGGGUUGUAAAGCCCUUUUGCUGGGAAAGAAAAGCAGCAGGUUAAUACCCCGCUGUUCUGACGGUACCCAAAGAAUAAGCACCGGCUAACUUCGUG